rnacentral:rRNA from 1 species
AUACGGAGGGUGCAAGCGUUGUUCGGAAUUACUGGGCGUAAAGCGCGCGUAGGCGGUUUGUUAAGUUGGAUGUGAAAGCCCCGGGCUUAACCUGGGGGGGUCAUUCAAAACUGGCAGACUAGAGUGUGGUAGAGGGUAGUGGAAUUCCUAGUGUAGCGGUGAAAUGCGUAGAGAUUAGGAGGAACACCAGUGGCGAAGGCGACUGCCUGGACCAACACUGACGCUGAGGUGCGAAAGCGUGGGUAGCGAACAGGAUUAGAAACCCCGGUAGUCC